rnacentral:rRNA from 1 species
CACAUCACGAAAGUGGGCUGUACUAGAAGACGUUGAGCUAACCCAGCAUUCAGUUGGGGGGAGGCAGGCGUCCACGGUAUGGUUCGUGAUUGGGGUG